rnacentral:lncRNA from 1 species
GGACACUCAAAGGGGUGAAGAAAAAGGAUCUCCAAAGAAAAAUCUUAAUGUUUAAGAACAGUAAGAACAUUGCAUGGGAAAAUGAAGAAAGGUUUGGGGGUGUGAUAAUGGGUGAUAGUCAUGGUUAGGGUUAAGCUGACAUAUCUUUAAGUCUGUAUUCUAAGUCCUUGGCCCAGGAGUCACUUUAGUUUAAUGCCAUCAUAAAAUAUAAUCUGGGGCUCAUCAGAGAACAAAGGAUUAAUUUACCUUUUCUUGAUUUUUUUUUGGUCAGGUCUCCAAAGGCUGAUUGACUGACUAAUUUAUUUUGUACCCUCCCUGCCCUGUGGUUUCCUGUCACCAGAACGAUUGUUUGAGAAAAUUUACCUCUGACUUUUGCCAAAUGCUUUCUGAGAAAAUAAGGGAAAAGGUUGGAAAUAACAGAACAUUUUGAAAGUAGAUCGAAGAGAUAUCUGUCAAUAAAGAAGGAAGAUAAAAGAACUAUAAAAACAGGCGUUAAGGGGCAAUAACUAUAAAGCCUUUUGUUUUCCAGUCUAAAAAAUUCCAAGUUCCUCCAACUGAUUUUCAUAAGGCAUAGAAUCAAGUCCCUUCUCCAUCUUGAUCGUCGUACUCAAAAAAUAAAGAAAAUAAAAAUAGCAAUAAGCGUUUGGUGGUUGUCUUUAGCAUUAGUUUAUCAUAAUAUUUAAUACUUCUG